rnacentral:lncRNA from 1 species
GUGAGAAUCGAGCCACCGGAUAGCAGUAAAACUUUAGGUUAAACCACCAGAAACCCUAGAAGUCGAUAGGUCACCAAAAAAUCACCCAAAAAUCAUCAGAUAAUCUCCCAGAACAUUCGAGUGAAGAAAGCACACUCCGAUAUCACGAUCAAAAACUCAGAAAGGUGUCCGAUAGGUCGGAAUCUUCAUCGACCAUGAGGUCUCAGAAAACAC